rnacentral:rRNA from 1 species
ACACCAUGGGAGUGGGUUGCUCCAGAAGUAGCUAGUCUAACCGCAAGGGGGACGGUUACCACGGAGUGAUUCAUGACUGGGGUGAAGUCGUAACAAGGUAGCCGUAGGGGAACCUGCGGCUGGAUCACCUCCUUAA